rnacentral:rRNA from 1 species
AGUGAACGCUGGCGGUAGGCCUAACACAUGCGAGUCGAACGGCAGCACAGUAAGAGCUUGCUCUUACGGGUGGCGAGUGGCGGACGGGUGAGGAAUACAUCGGAAUCUACUUUUUCGUGGGGGAUAACGUAGGGAAACUUACGCUAAUACCGCAUACGACCUACGGGUGAAAGCAGGGGAUCUUCGGACCUUGCGCGAUUGAAUGAGCCGAUGUCGGAUUAGCUAGUUGGCGGGGUAAAGGCCCACCAAGGCGACGAUCCGUAGCUGGUCUGAGAGGAUGGUCAGCCACACUGGAACUGAAGCACGGUCCAGACUCCUACGGGAGGCAGCAGUGGGGAAUAUUGGACAAUGGGCGCAAGCCUGAUCCAGCCAUACCGCGUGGGUGAAGAAGGCCUUCGGGUUGUAAAGCCCUUUUGUUGGGAAAGAAAAGCAGCAGGUUAAUACCCCGCUGUUCUGACGGUACCCAAAGAAUAAGCACCGGCUAACUUCGUG